CUUUCAUGUUCCUGGUUUGAAACAUUCUUUUUGGAAAACAAAAUGCUGUGAGAUGAGUAUUCUAAAGAAGGAAAUCUAGAGGUGUUUGAUGAAGAGGCUUGUAAGGACAGAACAGGCCGGCUGAGGACUGGGGUAGUCGAGAGGCUCAUCAAGAAGUUGUGUGACUAAGAGGAGCAUGUCCUGGCUUGUCGUUCUGACCUGACGAUGAAGGUCAGUGUUCACCGUGUGGACAACAUGCCUAAGUGGAUGGACCUGCUAGUCAAUCAAGUUAAAGAGGAGGAGAAAACGAGGCUCAGAGACCAGAAGGAGGGAGAUGGCACACUUCUUUCGAAUGCAUAUUCCAAACCCAGCAGCAGUACAGGUAUUAUAGUUGAACACGGUCUGUCUACAUCAUGUUUCUUGUGCACUAUAGAGAGAGAGAAAUCCCAUUUACAUUUGCUUGGCAGUUGAAGACUGUUCAUCCAUCAACAGUGACUUUUCCGUGACAUUUUCUUGCUAUUUUAAGCUGCGGAAGCUUUUGUAUGACCUACUGCAACAGCUGUUUACCCUCAGGAAACUAGAUAAAUGGGGCAAAGUCUAUUCUGAAAUUGUGAAAUUCCAGUGCAGCUCAAUCGAAAACAGUUGGCUGUUCUGGAUUAUGUCACUGUAACUAUAUAAAGUAUUGUCCCUUGCCGUGCUGGUGUGGGAUCUGAAGUAGUUAUGACUACAGCUUUAAAGUUCAGUUACCUCCCAUAUUCCAAAACAUGAGGUCACAUGCUAUGCAAAAUGACUCUUCACUGACUCUAAUCUGUUAAUUUGAAACAUCGGGUAAAAUCUUCUGAGUACAAUAUGUCUAGAGAAGGGAUGAGAAUCUCAGGCAAGCAAGACUGAACAGACAACCAGAUGAGUAUAAACAGCCAGAUCCUGACUAGUUUAAUAGGACAUUUCCAAGUGUGUUUAGCCUCAGACAUAUGACUUCCCAAAUUAUUCUGUAAAUUCAGCCCCUCCCCACUAAUAGCUGGUGCCAUUAAAAAAUGACUUGCAGAGCAGCAGAGAGCUGUGAAGUGAUGCUUACUCUUGUUGAGAGGAAGGGCUCACCGUGAGGCUACUCACGUGAGCAGCCUAACCCAGGCUGCUCAUGUGGAGCACUGGGAUCGCUCCUGACCCCAGUGCUCCCACCCAGCCUGACCCAACUUUUGACCCAGGCCUUUAGCCAGGGUUGAGCAUGCCCCUGAACCUGGUGCCAGGGCCAUGUAUCUGGUCAGGCUGCACGCAGCUCGAGCAUACAGAGUCAAGUGCCUAGAGUGCCCAACUCAUGGGGCAAUCCCUAAAUGCACUGUGCUGCUCGUGCAGUGCAUUUAGGGAUUCCUGGAGGCCAGGACUUAUUUUCCUAGCCUUCAGUAAUCUGCGCUGCUGGGAGCAGCAUGGAUUGUGCAAGUGUGCAGCAGCAUACCAAAAAUCAUGGCAGUGAUUGUCUAGGGGAAAGUAGGGCCAACCCUGACUCCCCACCCCCACCCACCAAGGCUUCGAUCAUGUGCUUAGCCUUACUGUCUUUUUAGCCUUCUGAUUAGUGAGUAAAUUCAGUGCUGCUAGACUGCUGUUGCCAACUGACCCAAGGCAUAGCUGUAGUGUUUGACUAAAAAGCUGGCAACCUCCCCAAAAGGUCUUGUCAGCUCUUCCCACCAUGAUUCAGACCACAUGUGGUUAUUCCACAAGUGCCCUUUACACUUUGCAUUUGUUCAGUGAUUAGUGCCUCAACCAUGGUAAUAGUGUGUGCAGCUGAAUGUCUCGCCACAUGGUUUCAAAGCAAUCAUAGAAUUUGAAAGCAUUGACAAAUGUGGAGGCUCUGCUUUGGGUCUUGAUAGGCACAGUAUCAUUGCAUGGAUGACCUGUGCAUCUGAAUGUUUGCUCCAUGGUGCCACAAAUCUCUUCCAGGGAGAUUUGGUGGAAUGAGUGCCUUGUAAUCUGAAAGCUAACGUUCUACAUCCCUUCUUCUUGGGUCCUGUGCCCUUCUGACCAGCUCUGUCAGACCAGCUGACAGAGCCAGCAUAGUGCAGUGGUUAGAGUGUCUGACCAGGACUGAGGAGAUCCAAAUUCAAAUCCCCUUUCAGCCAUAAAAUCCAUUGGAUGACUCUGGUUCAGUCAGGGGCAUAGCCACUAUUGGGCAACCGGGUUCAAAGAACCCAGGCCGCUGCCCCUCAGGGGCCACACCUCGCAGCCCCAACACACCCCCUGCAUCUAAUGUCAGAGGCAGGGGGUGCUGGUUUAGCUCUUGAGCAGGGCCCCAUUCGGGAGUUA